rnacentral:lncRNA from 1 species
CCCCCAUUGCUUUUUUUGUGAGAUGCCAGUUAUAAUUGUGAAGCAUAGUGUAACAUGGCCUUCAACAGAGUCUGAGUUGAUGGGGGAACAUCCAGAGAUCUUGGAGACCAUGCCGCAGUGCCUUCUGGGAACUCUAUAAGCCAUCUCAGAGACAAGCCUUCACCUUCACACCUGCCAAUAGAUGCUGCACAUGCCCAGCUCACUGGAUAGUUCCGUGUCUAAGACGUCUGGGGUCCACCCACUGAGUCUUUUCUCUUUCCAACAUUACUAUUUUGUUUAGGAAAAUAUUGUUUUAUUUGGACAAACAGUCUAACCUGAAGUAAGAAAACAGUCAACGUGUCUGUGACUAAACUUGACUUAGUCAGGAUUUCUAUUGCUGCCAUGAAACACCAUGAGCAAAAGCAAGUUGGGAAGAAAAGGGUUUGUUUGGUUUACACUUCUACAUUGUAGUCUACCAUUGAAGGAAGCCAGGACAGGAACUCAAUCAGAUUAAGCUCCUGCCUCCUAGAGGCAGGAGCUGACCCAGACGCCAUGGAGGAGAACUGCUUACCGCUUGUUCAUCACAGCUUGCUCAGCCUGCUUAAAGAGCCCAGGACCACCAGUCCGGGAGGGGCCCCACCCAUAGUGAGUUGGGCUCUCCCCCUUCAAUCACUAAUUAAGAAAAUAUCCUACAGGUGGAUAUCAUGAAGAAAUUUUCUCAAUUGAGGUUUCCUCCUUUUUGAUGACUUGAGCUUGUGUCAAGUUGCUAUAAAACUAGCCAGCAUAGAUUUUUUUUUUUUUUUUUUUUGAGACAGGGUUUCUCUGUGUAGCCCUAGCUGUCCUGGAACUUGCUUUGUAGACCAGGCUGGCCUUGAACUCACUGAGAUCUACCUGCCUCUGCCUCCCAAGUGCUGGAAUUAAAGGUGUGUGCCACCACUGCUGGCCCAACUUGGCAAGCAUAGAAUUCUUUAAGGGGGAUGUCUGUUAAAUAGAAUGUCACUAAUGCAGCUGCAGUGUGCCAGGACAGGCUCUGGGGAAGCCCAUUUGAAUGAGAAGAGUCCUAAGGGUAACAGUCAUAUAUGCUGAGAAGCAGCCAACAGGAAGAUACAACACAAUACAAAGAACACAAUGUUGUACAAGGGACUCAACCUAUAGAACGGAAGCCACAUAGAUGUAUGAUUUUUAGUUUGUCAUUUACACUGCUUUACAUGUGUGCCUAGGACAGAGUGGAAGGUAGUAGUCAACAACAUGGGUUCAGUGAACAAAACAGCUACAGCAUGUCUUCAAGAGGAAGAAAAAGGAUUCUAGAAAUUCAAGGAGUCUUUUAAUGCCUUCUCCAGUUUUUGGCCAGAUUGGAGGACAAAGCCGGUUAAGUAGGGCGAUUAAGAACUGCACUUAGUAGUUGGAGAUAUGUGUGCAGAUGUCUUUGGAGGCCAGAAGAGAGCAUCUGUUCCCUCCCAGCUGGGGUUACAGGCAGUUGUGAACCAUCUGAUGUGGGUGCUGGCAACUGAACCUCGGUCCUUUAGAAGAGCAGACAAUGCUCUUCACCACUGAGCCAUCUUCCCAGCCCAGAGAAGUAUUUUAUUGUAGUUGAGAUUCUACCAAGCAGAAGGAAAAAAACAAAACAAAACAACAAACAAACAAAAAUCAGGGGUAAAUUACAGGCUGCAGAAACAAUACACCCAAAUAUUAAUAUAGAAAAAGUAAAUGAGCAUGACCAUAACAUCCAAGAACUCUGGGACAAGACUGAGAGAAGAAACUGAAGAAACCGUGGGACAGAAUAAGGUGCUUAAAUAAACACUAAAGGCAGAGAGAAUCUAGUCAGUGAAAUUAUGGCAGGAGAUUCCAUAAAUCUAGAGAAAGAAAUAGACAUUCAAGUGUAAGUAGCAUUUAAAACCCCAAAUAGAUAUGAACAG